GGCUUCUACGGUGUCCUAGUGAUUAGUGAGUCCGCUUCGGGUGCUGGAGAUCGAGGGUUCGAACCUCGGCCGAGUCA